AUGCAAGUGCCCACGUUUGCUUUUACCAAAGUUGUCUCCUAUAUCUUCCCAGUCGUGUUAAGCCUGCUACUGAUAGUCUGAUAGUUCUUAUUUGCAACCUUUUGACCUACCUCAUCAAAUAUGGAUAAUGAUGACAUACUGGGAUCUGAGUCUAGUAUCUGAGGCAUGAUAAGUUUCAUUUCCUAUUUCUCCACCUCCCACUCCCAGAAUUCCUGUAUCUUCUCACAUGAUCACCACUUAUGGAAAAACAGUAGGGACCUGACUCUUCACAGCCACUCCAGCAUAGUGGACUGUUAGCACUUGAAAUUCUAACAAGAGUGAGAUGAAGCAAGGUACUGAGUUCUCUCUCAUCCAGGAUGAUGCUGACCAGAACAGAAAUGGGUCACAGAUUUGCUUCCACUUUAUCAGCUCAAUUUUGAAGUCCUGCUCCCACAGCUUCCUUAAAGGUAAAGGUACCCCUGCCCGUACGGGCCAGUCGUGUCCGCCUCUGGGGUUGCGUGCUCAUCUCGCUCUAGAGGCCGUGAGCUGGCGCUGUCCGAAGACACUUCCGGGUCACGUGGCCAGCGUGACGAAGCUGCAGCUGGCGAGCCAGCACCAGUGCAGCACACGGAAACGUCGUUUACCUUCCCGCUAUAAAGCGGUCCCUAUUUAUCUACUUGCACUUAAGGGUGCUUUCGAAUUGCUAGGUGGGCAGGAGCUGGGACCAAACGACGGGAGCUUACCCCGCCGCGGGGAUUCGAACCGCCGACCAUACGAUCGGCAAGUCCUAGGCACUGAGGUUUUACCCACAGCGCCACCCGAUCCCCCCACAGCUGCCUUGGGGAGUGUCUAAUACCCCUGUGGCAACUCGCAAUAAAAUCUUUAAAACUUCCAAAAAAAUAAAAUAAGAAUACAACAGUUAAACCACACAUAUAAAAAGCAUUUGGAAACUUUUAAAAUACUCAUAAAUUACAAAAAUUCAUAUUCAAGGGAAACUAACAGUAAGAAACCCAUGUUAACUAGAAUCAGCCAUAUCUUAUAACCCAUACAAACAUACUCAUUGUGUGGUUUAGCAACUGCAUUAUUUUUUACCUUGAUAAGCCUUUGAUAAAGGCAAUUGUGCCCAAAUGUGAUGGGCAUAUUUAACAAUGAAGCAUUCCCAUUGUUUGGGCGUCUUUGAGAGACAUUUCUCUCCCCCCCCACACCCCUUUUAGGUUAGCGAAAAAUGCUCAGGUGGGUUGUGGCAUUCAAUUCUGGGCAUCCCUGGAUGCAGCAGAUUAUCUGGAAUCCAUUUUAAUCUGGUUCCCAAAUCCCAUGUCACUUUUUUUUUGGACUGAAGCGGCAUUGGUCUCCCUAGUGGACGACCUUCGCAAGGAGAGGGACAUAGAGAGUGUGACUCUAUUGAUUACCCUGGACCUCUCAGUGUGGCUUUCGAUACCAUCGACCAUUAUAUCCUAAUGGACCAGCUGGCUGGGAGGGAACUGGGGGCACUGGAGUCCAGUGGUUCCAGUCAAACCUGACAUGCUGGUUGCAGAGGGAGAUGCAAGGAGGCUGGUGUUGCUGCUACUAAGGGUUAUACAGAGUGUUUCCUGUGCUGUAUGAAACUACUAGAGGAAGUUGUCUAGGAAUUUACAGAGAGGUGCUGGUAGUAAGCUUAUAGCAGUUCAUUUCCCCUUUCAUCAAAUUUAGGUGAGGCCAGGGGUAGCCUGAAAAGGGGUCUGGAGCUAAUGCAUUGGGAGAUGGAGACCAAUAAAUUGCAACUUUAUACAACUUUAUUAAGGCAGCCUUUGUCAACCUAGUGGCUUACAGAUAUUGUUGGAGUCCAACUCCUAUCAGCCCCAGUGCACAUGGUCAACGGUCAAGGUUGAUGGGAAACGGAGUCUAGCAAUAUCUGAAAGGACAUGGGUUCCCCUUCCCUGCCACAGAACCAUAGAGUGGGAAGGGACCUUGGAGGUCACCUGAAUGCAAAAUCUGCAAUACAUGAUUUGCAAUUAUAAUAUCUCUGGCAAACAGGCUGGGCUUCAAGCCUUUGCUUCAAUGACUAGUAGCCAUUGAUGCUCCUCAUCGUCUAUGAAUUUGUCUAAUCCUCUUUUAAAGCCAUUUGUGUUGGUGGCCAUCACUGACUCCUUGUGGUCAGGUCUUGCAAAGCUCUAUGCACCUGGGUUUGAAAGCUCAGGUGAUCUGAUGUUUCAUCUUGCAAGACCUGGUAAUCAACUGAUGCCCAGGGUUUGGGUCAGCUGCAAACCUGCCAACCCUCUUUCAGCUGAGCCAGGUCCUUACCCGCCCCACCCCUGACAUCAUAUACAACAUAAUGUAUAGGACAGGUGGGUGUGGCUUAGCCAGAUGGGGAGCCUUAGUGGGCCUCAUUAACCCCUGAGGCUGGAGGUUGCCCACCACUGCUAUAACUCAAUAAACAGUCAUGCAGUUAAAAUAUGGAUAGCAUUAGGACAUCACAUUGCAAGCAUGUCACCUUUGGGCUAGCGUAAACCUGAGGCUUUGAAUCAAAGUUUGCACUGGAGGCUUCCUAGAUUGUUACACAGGUGCUGGGCUUCUGCAAGAUAUCAGCUCUCUCCUCUAUGAAUCUGUUGGAAAUCAAAAUAGAAGUUAGUGCAGUGCUAGUUAAAUGUCAUAAAGACUUGUGCUUUCUUCAGGCAAUGUGGAAGUAUGUAAUAAUGACUUGACUGAAAGUUAUGAGGAGAGCUCAGGCAAAAAAGGAAGCACCUGUAAAAGGACAUCGUGACCUGGCCAUUGUGCUCUGGUAUGGAUUUAUCCACUUUUCAGCAUGCUUUUUAAAAUCCCAAUAAGUGGAUGUUUUUCCCCACAUUGCUUUUAGCUCAGCCAAGCAAAGAUAAACUAAUUAGGGUUAUAAUUACAUAAGCAGUUUUAUGUUGUUUCUUUCACCACAUGGAGAGGUCCAUGUGGUUACACGGAUUGAGUAGCAGCAGGCAGCUGGACUGUCCAGCUGAGGAAUGUCAGGCUUAAGGUUGAUUCAUAAUUGAAAUGUAUGGCCCAAGUGCCACAUAGCGGAGAUGCACCACUUGGCUGGAAGAGAAAUAACGCCCCCCUCAACUGCCCAUGAUUGAAAGAUUGCCAAGCGAAUGCCUCUGAAAUGCUUUUGGCUUCAAACUUGGGUUGUCCUGUUGGCUAAUCAUCAGCACUUGCAUUCCCUCUUGUGACCACAAUUGGCUAAAAACCUCUGAAUAGCAAUGUUCCAUCAAUGAGCAGCUCACUAACUUUACAACACCUCGGAAGCUGUCAAAAGAAGAUGCAAUCGAUAAAGAUGAGAAUUAAGGUGUUGUUAUUGUGGACACCCAUUUGCCACUUUUGGUGAGCCAAAUAGACCCUCCAAGUGGUUCACAGUUAAAACCUAUUAUUUUUGGUGUGUCACUUUUUUUAAAAAAAAAUAUUUUUUUCUAUUGUAUGCAGCAAUGCAAACAAUAUAACACCUGAGAACAAUAAUGAAAGGGGCAUCUGAAAUUAAAGAUCUCAAGUUUGUUUGCCAUACAGUGAAGACAAGGGAGAGAUGAGAUCACCAAUGAGCCUGUCACUGAAAUGUCCACAGCUGUCCAUGCAUACAUGGUAGAUGGUUCUCUUGUCUGAUUCUCUGUAUGCACUGAAUAAAAUGAAACUAAAGAAUAGGAGAAACUGUCCAUUUUUGGGCAUCCUUAUGCUUUUUAAAUCUGACUUGUGAGCUUCUCAGCCAAAGCCAUGUUGCCGACACGACUAUACCAAGUGCCCAAGGAAACACCCUCAAGGGUCUGGCACUUAUGCACUAUUGCCGCCACCAAGAG